rnacentral:rRNA from 1 species
UACGAAGGGGGCUAGCGCUGCUCGGAAUCACUGGGCGUAAAGCGCACGUAGGCGGAUUGUUAAGUCAGGGGUGAAAUCCUGGAGCUCAACUCCAGAACUGCCUUUGAUACUGGCGAUCUUGAGUCCGGGAGAGGUGAGUGGAACUCCGAGUGUAGAGGUGAAAUUCGUAGAUAUUCGGAAGAACACCAGUGGCGAAGGCGGCUCACUGGCCCGGUACUGACGCUGAGGUGCGAAAGCGUGGGGAGCAAACAGG